UGUGCACACAUACUGUACUCUACUGUAAGUAAGAGAAAAUAAUGGAAUCAGGGAACUUUUAUGUAUGCAGAAAUGUUACAAACAGAUCUAGCCCUCGAACACAGAUUCACUUUCAGGAUGAAGGAAAAUCGCAAAAGCAGAGAGGAAGUAGAUGUUUGGUGUUGAUCACAGUGAGUCUGGCGCUCAUUUGUGUUCUUCUGCUGGUCUUCAUCAUACUGCAGCAGACCACCAUCACAGCAGAGAGAGACUUGAUAAAGAGUUACAAGAGCACAGUUGAAGAGUUCAAUCAAACUAUCAGCAGCUUACAGGACAAAUACAAUGAUGUCAAGAUUGAAAAAGACCAACUGCAGAACAACUUCACCUCUUUGAGUCAGAAGAACGUGGAGCUCGAGACCAGAGUCAAUAAUCUCACGUCUGAGAAAAGCCAGUUGCUGAUCAACUUGGACUCUUUGAAACGUGAGUUAGAAAGCAGAAUCACAUCUUUAAAUGAUGAGCUGGGGAAAGAACAAUCUAAAUAGAGUCAGUAGAAAUCUUGUUUCAUUUCUUUACAUCUCUUUAUCUUUAUGCUAAGAGUUUAAAAAUAUUAUUUUGGUUAGGAAAUCUGUGUGGUCCAGUUUGUUAUUUCAUAGCCAAUGAGUUGAAGAGCUGGUCUGACAGCAGGCAGUACUGCAGGGAUCAUGGUGCUGAUCUGGUCAUUAUCAACACUGAAGAGAAGCAGAGACUCAUAUCUUCAUUAGUCAGUGAGCGAGUGUGGAUAGGUUUGUCUGACAUAGAGAACGAGGGCAACAUGACAUGGGUGGAUAGUUCAACAGUGAAUCAAACAUUUUGGUUUAAAGGAGAGCCAAAUAAUGCAGGUGGAAAUGAAGACUGUAUUGAACUGAUGCCUUCAGAGCCCACCCUGAACUGGAAUGAUCUGCCAUGCUCAGCGAACAGAAAAGGGAUUUGUGAGAAAUAGGGUUCAUCCCAUAUUGUUGUGUUUUUAACUGCAUUGUUUUAUGAAAUCAAUGACGGACUGUGAUCGGCUAUGUUUCUGACUGAGGUCUUUUAAAACAGUUCACUUAUUUAAAUUUAUAUAAAAUGCUUUCAUGUCAUCAAUUUCGUUUUUUUUGGUUUUCUUUAACAUACAAGUUUAAAGUGUCUCAGAUUACCCUAAUUCAUCCUAUUAUUCUGAUACUGAUGUCUGAAUAAAAUGGUCAAUACCACAUACCUUGUAGUUUUAAAAUAAGCCUGAAGGACUUGAUUUGGUGGACCAGGUAUGUUUAAUUUAGGUUGAAUUGACUCAGGGCUGAGUAUGACUGUGUUUACACUUGGCAUCAACAUGCAACCUGUAUUCAGAUGUUGUCCACAUACACACUGAAAAACACAAGUGUAAACGCACUUCUGAUCGCAAUGUUAUCCGAUCUGUGUGUUGUGGUCCAGAGGUAGUCGAGGACGGAUAUCAGUGUAAUGUAAAUGCAAUCCAACCAUAUGCAUUCGUAGGUCAACAUCACGCAAAACGCCACCCCCUCUCUUGUGAACUGUCAGAAAAGAAAAAAGAUGGAGAACAUCAGUGCUGAGACUAGUAUACUUUUGUUUGAUUUGUAAAAUGUCCCGAGACUAAAAAUACUUUUCAAAAAAAAAAAAAAAAACACUUCAGGUUUACUUUGCAUUGAACCAUUCUCUGGAGACUUAUCUAAAUAUUGUGCAGGUAAGACAGUUCUGGUCGGUUAUCCAGAUAGAAAAGUCAGUUGAUGUCUGCAAGUUCUUAUUGUUCUUAUUAUUCCUGUUUCACAAUGAACACCUUUAAAAAUAAUAUAGCUAAUUCAAUUAAUAAAGAAUCACUGUUAUUUUUAAAGGAAAUCAGUUGAGCCAGUGUUUACAUACAAUUAGUAAUUGAUCGAAAUGUACAUACAUUUCAGGAUGUGCUGCAUACUUGGGAAUAAUCACGUUGGAUCUAAAAUA